CAGCAGCCGCGGUAAUACGAAGGGGGCUAGCGUUGUUCGGAUUUACUGGGCGUAAAGCGCACGUAGGCGGACUUUUAAGUCAGGGGUGAAAUCCCGGGGCUCAACCCCGGAACUGCCUUUGAUACUGGAAGUCUUGAGUAUGGUAGAGGUGAGUGGAAUUCCGAGUGUAGAGGUGAAAUUCGUAGAUAUUCGGAGGAACACCAGUGGCGAAGGCGGCUCACUGGACCAUUACUGACGAUGAGGUGCGAAAGCGUGGGGAGCAAACAGGAUUAGAUACCCGUGUAGUCCCUGUCUCUUAUAC
rnacentral:rRNA from 1 species